rnacentral:pre_miRNA from 1 species
ACAAGGGUCCUUCAACCGCUAAGUACCCAACAUUUGGUACUCGGUGGGAGUAUUUUUGUAC